rnacentral:lncRNA from 1 species
UUUUUCUAGGGUUAUUUCCAUUUCCACUUCAACAUAUUCUCUCUACCUUAACUAAUAAGAAACAUUUACACAGAAACCGAAUUAGCAUUUGAAGAGGUGGAAGCUUGUGGAUGAAGCGGGUCAAACGGAGCACGUACGGAAAGAAAAGCGUGGCAUGGAUGCAAGGUAUGUUAAAUACAAGUACGCAUACUAAUAAAACAAAAGAAAUUAACUGCAUCCUAACACCAUGAGGUUGUCUUCAACUGUUCGGUGGCUGCCAUAAAGCAGAGCAAAAACAAAUAGUUAUAUAAACUAUGCCACAUUGCUUCCUUUCCAUCUCGUAAAAAUUAUUACAUUCCCUCUUUU